rnacentral:rRNA from 1 species
AGCCAGACUCCUACGGGAGGCAGCAGUGGGGGAUAUUGCACAAUGGGGGAAACCCUGAUGCAGCGACGCCGCGUGGGUGAAGAAGUAUUUCGGUAUGUAAAGCCCUAUCAGCAGGGAAGAAAGAAGACGGUACCUGACUAAGAAGCCCCGGCUAACUACGUGCCAGCAGCCGCGGUAAUACGUAGGGGGCGAGCGUUAUCCGGAUUCACUGGGUGUAAAGGGAGCGUAGACGGCCGUGCAAGCCAGGAGUGAAAGCCCGGGGCCCAACCCCGGGACUGCUCUUGGAACUGUGCGGCUAGAGUGCGGGAGGGGCAGGCGGAAUUCCUGGUGUAGCGGUGAAAUGCGUAGAUAUCAGGAGGAACACCGGUGGCGAAGGCGGCCUGCUGGACUGCGACUGACGUUGAGGCCCGAAAGCGUGGGGAGCAAACAGGAUUAGAUACCCCCGUA